ACUCAAAAACGUACCAAAGUUGGCGCACAAAUCAAAAGCUGUGGGCCUGCAAAGACUAAAUGACAAUUAUGACCAUGCAUGUUUAGGGGCUCCAUAGCGCCCCUUAAUGCACGGAAUGUCUCAAUUUGGACAUAGUUGCUCUGAAAUUCAAAACACGUUUUGUCUCAUAAUUUCAGACAUAUUUAAAAUUUGCUUUCAUUAGCUCCGGCAACAGAAGUCAGCCAUUUAAAAUGUUAUACUACUUACUUCUUACUUAGGCCUUUAGAUUCCCAUAGGAACAUAGGCCAUUGACGAAGCUUUUCCAUCCUCUCCGGUCUUGGGCCCUCCGCUCCAGAUGUUGCCACGUCAGCCCUUCUUCAGCUCCUGUUCUGUGGUUCUGCUCCAGGUGGUUCUCGGUCUGCCUCUCUUCCUCCUGCCCUGUGGCUUCCAUGUCAGCGCUUGUUUAGUGAUUUCUUUCUUUCUCCUGAGUGUGUGCCCUAUCCACUUCCAUUUCCUCCUCUGGAUUUGCAUUUCUAUUGGGUCUUUUUUGGUGAGUUCCCACAGGUUGGUGUUAGAGAUGGUGUUGGGCCAGUAUAUUCCUAGGAGGCGUCUGAGGCACCGGUUGGUGAAGGUCUGCAGCUUAUUGAGUAUGUUGGUGGUAAUUCUCCGGGUUUUUGAGCCAUAAAGUAGAGUGGUCUUUAUGUUUGAGUUGAAGAUUUGCAGUUUGGUCUUGAGUGACAAGUUUUUUGCCUUCUAAUUGUUUAGCAUGUUGAAUGUUGUCCUUGCUUUUCCGAUCCUGGCAAGGACGUCGUCCUCCGUGCCACCUUCCCCUGAAAUGAUGCUACCAAGUUUUCCAGAUUUUUCCUGCAUCUGUUGGUGUGUGUGAGCCAGUAGUGCCAGAUCAUCAGUGAACUCAAGGUCUUCUAGCUGCUCGGUCAAGCUCCAUUACUUGCCGGUUCGUCUAUUGUUGGUUGUUUCUUUCAUCACCCAGUCUAUGCAGAGGAGGAAAAGAGAGGGUGAGAGUAGGCACCCUUGCCGCACACCAGUCAGGACCUCAAAUGCCUCCGAUAUACAUCCUUCAUAGAGAACUUGACAUCUCGUCCCUUGGUAGGUGCUCCUUAUGAUGUUGAUGAUCUUUGCUGGGAUCCCAUAAUGAGCCAUCAGUUUCCACAGCCUUUCCCUAUCCACACUGUCAAAGGCUUUUUCAAAAUCUAUGAAAUUCACAUAGACAGGCAAGUUCCAUACGAUGAACUGUUCAAUAAUAAUUCUGAGGGUGGCAAUUUGGUCUCCACAGGAUCUGUUGUUCCUGAAGUCAGCCUGGUUUUCCCUCAGUUUCUCAUUGACCCCCUUCUGGAGCCUCUCGAACAGGAUAUAUUAUUUAAGUGUUAUGGUCUCUUGUUAUUGUUUGGUAGUUAAACGUAUUUUGUCCUUUGUGGACUUUUCAUUUAAUGAUCUAUAUUUUACAAUUUAUUUUCACGGUCUGUAUUUUCUGUGACUGAAUGUGGUUUUAAAUCUGUUGAGGUCUGUUCAGACUGAAAGCAAAGACACUGAUGUUGUAAUACAAAGUCAGAAAAUAGAAAGCAAACAGCUGAUUUAUUAAUCUGACUUGUAGAAUAACGUCAAUGAUUCGAUUGUUUUAAUUGUUUUGGAAUGUGGAACAAUUUAAUGCCAUUAAAUGAAAUAAAACAAGGCCACACACA